GCGGGAGUGGCGAAAUUGGCAGACGCACUGGAUUUAGGUUCCAGCGCUUUCGGGCGUAGGGGUUCAAGUCCCCUCUCCCGCA
rnacentral:tRNA from 1 species